rnacentral:tRNA from 1 species
GGGGUUGUGGCUCAGAGGUAGAGUGCUCACCUAGUAUGUGUGAGGCUCUGGGUUCGAUCCUCAGCACCA